CGGGGGUAGAGCACUGUUUCGGCUAGGGGGUCAUCCCGACUUACCAACCCGAUGCAAACUGCGAAUACCGGAGAAUGUUAUCACGGGAGACACACGGCGGGUGCUAACGUCCGUCGUGAAGAGGGAAACAACCCAGACCGCCAGCUAAGGUCCCAAAGUCACAGUUAAGUGGGAAACGAUGUGGGAAGGCUCAGACAGCCAGGAUGUUGGCUUAGAAGCAGCCAUCAUUUAAAGAAAGCGUAAUAGCUCACUGGUCGAGUCGGCCUGCGCGGAAGAUGUAACGGGGCUAAACUGUGCACCGAAGCUGCGGCAGCGACGCUUAUGCGUUGUUGGGUAGGGGAGCGUUCUGUAAGCCGUUGAAGGUGUGUCGUGAGGCAUGCUGGAGGUAUCAGAAGUGCGAAUGCUGACAUAAGUAACGAUAAUGCGGGUGAAAAACCCGCACGCCGGAAGACCAAGGGUUCCUGUCCAACGUUAAUCGGGGCAGGGUGAGUCGACCCCUAAGGCGAGGCCGAAAGGCGUAGUCGAUGGGAAACAGGUUAAUAUUCCUGUACUUGGUGUUACUGCGAAGGGGGGACGGAGAAGGCUAUGUUAGCCGGGCGACGGUUGUCCCGGUUUAAGCAUGUAGGCGGAACGAUUAGGUAAAUCCGGUCGUUUAUUAACGCUGAGGUGUGAUGACGAGGCACUACGGUGCUGAAG
rnacentral:rRNA from 1 species